rnacentral:rRNA from 1 species
AUGCCAGUAUCAGAUGGUUCUUUAACUGGAGAGAGGGAUAUUGAGUCGCAGUUGUGUGAACUCUUCGAGCGUGAGGAAAUUAUGGCGCGCCAGCGCUCAAGAGUUGGCUCCUUGAAGGGGACCGAAACACAGAGUUUUUUCAUGCCCAUGCUAGGUCAUGCAAACGAACUAAUAAAAUUCAUUCCUUGCUACGUGAGGAUGGCUCUUUGUGUGACUCACAAAGUGAAAUCAAAGAUGGGUCCAAUAAAAGCCCCGGGUCCUGACGGUUUCUCGGCUCUGUUUUAUCAAACUCACUGGAAUUUUAUUGGGGAGGAAAUUUGUCAUGAUGUAAGAAGCUUCUUGGAAGGUAUGCCUUAUCCCCGAAGGUUUCCGUGA